rnacentral:rRNA from 1 species
AUUGAACGCUGGCGGCAUGCUUUACACAUGCAAGUCGGACGAGUGGCGAACGGGUGAGUAACGUAUCGGAAAGUACCGAGUAAAGGGGGAUAACUGUCCGAAAGGACAGCUAAUACCGCAUACUAUUCGAGCGGCCGAUGUCUGAUUAGCGGGUUGGCGGGGUAAAGGCCCACAAAGGCGACGAUCAGUAGCGGGUCUGAGAGGAUGAUCCGCCACACUGGGACUGAGACACGGCCCAGACUCCGACGGGAGGCAGCAGUGGGGAAGUUUGCAAAAUGGGCGCAAGCCUGAUCCAGCCAUGCCGCGUGUCUGAAGAAGGCCUUCGGGUUGUAAAGUACUUUUGUCAGGGAAGCGGUACCUGAAGAAUAAGCACCGGCUAACUACGUGCCAGCAGCCGCGGUAAUUC